rnacentral:rRNA from 2 species
GAUGAACGCUGGCGGCGCGCCUAACACAUGCAAGUCGAACGGUUAAAGCACCUUUUAGGUGUGUAUAAAGUGGCGAACGGCUGAGUAACACGUGGGCAACCUGCCCUCCUCUUGGGGAUAGCCUCGGGAAACCGAGGAUAAUACCCGAUACUUCAAUGUGGCCGCAUGACGACAUUGAGAAAGCUUUUGCGGAGAAGGAUGGGCCCGCGGCCUGUUAGCUUGUUGGUGGGGUAGAGGCCUACCAGGGCAAUGAUGGGUAGCUGGGUUGAGAGACCGACCAGCCAGAUUGGGACUGAGACACGGCCCAGACUCCUACGGGAGGCAGCAGUGGGGAAUCUUGCACAAUGGGCGAAAGCCUGAUGCAGCGACGCCGCGUGCGGGACGAAGGCCUUCGGGUUGUAAACCGCUUUCAGCAGGGACGAGGCGAU